UACGGGGGGAGCAAGCGUUGUUCGGAAUUACUGGGCGUAAAGCGCACGUAGGCGGACUACUAAGUCAGGGGUGAAAUCCCGGGGCUCAACCCCGGAACUGCCUUUGAUACUGGUAGUCUCGAGUCCGGAAGAGGUGAGUGGAAUUCCGAGUGUAGAGGUGAAAUUCGUAGAUAUUCGGAGGAACACCAGUGGCGAAGGCGGCUCACUGGUCCGGUACUGACGCUGAGGUGCGAAAGCGUGGGGAGCAAACAGG
rnacentral:rRNA from 1 species